rnacentral:rRNA from 1 species
GCAAGUUGAACGAAGUACUUUGGGUUUACUCGGAGUAACUUAGUAGCGGACGGGUGAGUAACGCGUGAGUAACCUACCUUUGUGAGGGGGACAACAGCUGGAAACGGCUGCUAAUACCGCAUAAGGCCACGGCAUUGAGUGAUGCAGUGGUAAAAGAAUCUAAUCGCACAAAGACGGACUCGCGUCCCAUUAGCUAGUUGGUGAGGUAACGGCCCACCAAGGCAACGAUGGGUAGCCGACCUGAGAGGGUGAUC